rnacentral:SRP_RNA from 2 species
CUCCAGGCUCCGGGCAACGGGUUCCCGCAAACCCCGCCAGGUCCGGAAGGAAGCAACGGUAGCGGUGUAUCACGUGUGCCCCGGAUCCCCCUGGGGUCC